UAGUAGUUGCACCCUUAUUCAUUUUUCUUGGCCACAAGCUAGGUACCGAGAUACCGAGAGGGAAGGUAAUAAAUACACCAUAGCGCGGCCCUAAAACCACUUGAUAGCAAAUAACUCAACCAUGUGGUUUACUAGCUAAGCUUAUUAGACCUCAUUGUAUGCAUGUUAGGUAUAUAAACGAUAUAAAUAAGUCAUCUGUCUAAUUUAUAAAUGAGAAAGGAAAGAGAGAGAAAAUGGAGGCAAAGAAUGCCCUUGUCAUGGGAUUCGAGAAGAUUUACCACAAAUUAUCACCCCUAAAGUAAAAUACAAUUCCUUGGGGUUAUAGGGGAGAGAUCACAAGAGGAGAAGGAUUUGACACAAAUCAUUUGGUUCCAAUCUUAGCUUAUGAUAUUCACUCAUCAAAGAGAAUAUUAAGUAAAUAAUAAAGUUAAAUCAUGAAUGCAGUCAAAAUCAAAGGCUAUAAUAAUGACGACCUAGCAAAAUAAGUAGAGAUAAGCAUUUAAACUAGCAAAGAGCAUGUGUCUUGUAUACGGUGACCAAGUGACAAAGUAAAUGGAAACAUUAUUUUGAAAACACUCCAAAAUGGCCAAAUUUGCCAAAUAACUAUAUUCAAUACAGAAACCAACCAAAAUAAGAAACAUGCUAUGCCAAAUAAAGUCUAAACAGGAAUCAUCACAAACAGGCUAAAUACAAAAAAAAUAGCCUAAUAAAGCCAACAUACUAAUUCAACAUAAAAGCAUAAUUAACCACGCCAUUCUAAUCAAGAUGAACAUACUCACUCGGCAGGAACAAUCUUAAACUAAUCAUGUAGAGCCACGUAAAAGCAUGUUGAGCAUGGUGGAUGAAAUUCUAAUCUAACGACAACACGAAGUACCAAAGAAAAACUAAUCUAAUGUUACUAUAGGCAUAGACAAACUCUUAGACUAACACGCAUGAGCUAAUAACGGAAUCAUUUUGGUUGCCCUUAAACCUAUGAAGUAUUGACACACCUCCUAGGUCCCAUAUCUGUGUCCGACACGUACAGGACACAGUCACUUGGGGGACACGGAAAUAUACGUAUGGGGUUCGCCAUAUGUCGUGUCCCAUUAUUUUUAUUAAAGUUUUCUGUGGGGACAUGACAUGGACAAGUGAGGGACAAGUUGGACAUAUGAAAGAGGUACAUUUUAUAAUUUUAAAAUGUUAUUUCGGUGUCAUAGUGUAAUAUUAGAAAAAUAUUGAAAACAAUUUAUAAAAGAGUAAAAGUUAUGUGUAUACAUUUAUUUCAAAACUCUUACCAACAUUCUCUCUCUUUCUCUGUGUGAGGGAUUGAUCCAAACCUUUCGGAGAUCAAUCGACUUCUAGCGACCUCCAGCAAUUUGGUGAGGCAUAUUUGACCUUCCACGUUUUGCCUUGUGUCUAAUGGUUUGUGUUUUUGAUAGAUCAUUUAUUGAUCAUGUAGGAUUAAUCUUCAUUUCAACCAACUUGGUUAUAUAUAUUGUCAUAUUCCGGCCGUAUUCGUGUUUUGAUUUUUUGAGGAUUGCCGUGUCGUGUGCUCGUAGCCAUGCUUGUCUCUAUCUGUGUUCGUGCUUCUUAGUCUCAAACUCUAUGAUUCUCGUGAAUCACCUCCAAGAUAGCCUCAAUGAGCAACCGUAGACUUGGUCUAGUUUUUCUUUGGGUAUUCUUAUCUAUUUUGGGGUUGAUUAUUUGGUCUUUUUUGGCCCAAUACAUGACUAUGAAGUUUUGAAAACACGACUCCAAUAUUACUAAACAACUUGUUCAAUAUAAAAUCUAUUUGAAAUGAGUAAAUUGGCGACAAAAUUCCUUUCAGUUAGAGAAACGAAGGGCUAUAGGGACUAAUGCUAUCCAUCAAUUAUGCAUCGGAUCAUCUUUAUACGAGAACCUUUUGAGUUUUAAUACCCACUUCUGAGCACCAGAGUGUCUUCAGAUAGGUAUACGUUGGCUUUUCUUUAGCAGUGAACAUCAUGAGUUUCAAGGGAGCUUGAAUGCCUUUUUGUGGUCUUGAUCUAGACAAUGGUGACUCAAAUCUCUCUCUUAAUGACUGAGUGAUUGUUAAUAUUGAAUGCAAUUAGUAUUAAUAUGUCUAAUCCUUAUGGACCUGCUAUUAUGCUAAUGGUUUUAUUGUUGCCACUAGGUUGUCGACUUUGGAUUUAAAUUGAUUGUUUAUUGGAAAUGAUUCUUAUAGUGCAUAAUAUUGUGAUGUAAAGUACUUGUUACCAUUAUUUCUAUUGUUUUUUGUAUUAUUAUUGGCAUUUAUACUAUCUGAAAUCCGAUGUUGGAGCCUGCAUGAGUGGCAAGUUCCAAAACACAUGCCAAAAAAGACAGCAGAAAGUUUAUCGCUGGAUAUGGAAGUGUAAAUGAAGGAGGACAUGUGACAGCUAUAUGCAUCUAAAAUGAAGAGGCAAUUCAAGACUAUCAAUAUUAAUUACCAUAUUUUCCAUCAAACUAAAUGUUUGUUGUGUACGUGGUCUCCAAAGUAAAAGUCGUUUUUAAUUAAAAUUUA
rnacentral:lncRNA from 1 species